rnacentral:rRNA from 1 species
CUGUUGGGUAGGGGAGCGUUGUGUAAGCGGAAGAAGGUUCAUCGAGAGGUGGGCUGGACGUAUCACAAGUGCGAAUGCUGACAUAAGUAACGAUAAAACGGGUGAAAAACCCGUUCGCCGGAAGACCAAGGGUUCCUGUCCAACGUUAAUCGGGGCAGGGUGAGUCGGCUCCUAAGGCGAGGCUGAAAAGUGUAGUCGAUGGGAAACAGGUUAAUAUUCCUGUACUUGGUAAAGCUGCGAUGUGGGGACGGAGUAGGUUAGGUUAUCGCACUGUUGGAUAUGUGCGUUUAAGUUGGUAGGUGGGAAGUUUAGGCAAAUCCGGGCUUCCUUAACACAGAGAGAUGAUGACGAGGCUCUACGGAGCUGAAGUAACUGAUACCACACUUCCAGGAAAAGCCACUAAGCGAAAGGCUUUACUAAACCGUACUGAAAACCGACACAGGUGGUCAGGUAGAGAAUACUCAGGCGCUUGAGAGAACUCGGGUGAAGGAACUAGGCAAAAUAGCACCGUAACUUCGGGAGAAGGUGCGCCGGCGUAGAUUGUAAGGGCUAGCCCCUGAAGGUUGAACCGGUCGAAGAUACCAGCUGGCUGCAACUGUUUAUUAAAAACACAGCACUCUGCAAACACGAAAGUGGACGUAUAGGGUGUGAUGCCUGCCCGGUGCUGGAAGGUUAAUUGAUGGUGUAAUCGCAAGAGAAGCACCUGAUCGAAGCCCCAGUAAACGGCGGCCGUAACUAUAACGGUCCUAAGGUAGCGAAAUUCCUUGUCGGGUAAGUUCCGACCUGCACGAAUGGCAUAAUGAUGGCCAGGCUGUCUCCACCCGAGACUCAGUGAAAUUGAAAUCGCCGUGAAGAUGCGGUGUACCCGCGGCUAGACGGAAAGACCCCGUGAACCUUUACUAUAGCUUGACACUGAACAUUGAAUUUUGAUGUGUAGGAUAGGUGGGAGCCUUUGAAGCAGUGACGCCAGUCAUUGUGGAGGCGACCUUGAAAUACCACCCUUUAACGUUUGAUGUUCUAACGAAGAUGACGAAACGUGGUCUCGGACAGUGUCUGGUGGGUAGUUUGACUGGGGCGGUCUCCUCCCAAAGCGUAACGGAGGAGCACGAAGGUUUGCUAAUCACGGUCGGACAUCGUGAGGUUAGUGCAAUGGUAUAAGCAAGCUUAACUGCGAGACAGACAAGUCGAGCAGGUACGAAAGUAGGUCAUAGUGAUCCGGUGGUUCUGAAUGGAAGGGCCAUCGCUCAACGGAUAAAAGGUACUCCGGGGAUAACAGGCUGAUACCGCCCAAGAGUUCAUAUCGACGGCGGUGUUUGGCACCUCGAUGUCGGCUCAUCACAUCCUGGGGCUGAAGUAGGUCCCAAGGGUAUGGCUGUUCGCCAUUUAAAGUGGUACGCGAGCUGGGUUUAGAACGUCGUGAGACAGUUCGGUCCCUAUCUGCCGUGGGCGUAGGAGAAUUGAUUGGGGCUGCUCCUAGUACGAGAGGACCGGAGUGGACGCACCACUGGUGUUCCGGUUGUGUCGCCAGACGCAUUGCCGGGUAGCUAAGUGCGGAAGAGAUAAGUGCUGAAAGCAUCUAAGCACGAAACUUGCCAAGAGAUGAGUUCUCCCAAUCUAAGAGAUUGUAAGGGUUGUUGUAGACUACGACGUAGAUAGGUUUGGUGUGUAAGUGUAGUGAUAUAUUGAGCUAACAGAUACUAAUUGCCCGAGAGGCUUAACU